rnacentral:miRNA from 1 species
UGCCGGGCCUGGAGGCUCCGGGG